rnacentral:lncRNA from 1 species
UUAAGGUUUAGUAAAAUCAAAUUAGGUUCGAGAUUGGAGUUAAAGGCGUUAAUGACAUCUCCCGAAAACAGUUCAUCUCAAGUUCACCACCAUUGUUUUCCUCUGAAGCGAUGUGAGGGGUUUGGGGGUGUCGAGGUCGAUUAUUUGGGGUUUAGAGUCGAAUUCGAAAAGGAGUAAUUAAAUUUGAGGUGGAGGAGCUCAGUGAGGUAGUGAUCGAAGGAAAGGCAAGAAUCAAAGGAAGAAGAUUGAGAAGGGCUUUGAUUGGUUUGAUUAAAUUGGAAGGAAUGUUGUUUAUUUUGGGGAGUGAUGAUGGAGAGAGUUCACCUAAAAUAUGCAACUUGAUGCGAUUCAAAGCUGAAACUUCAGCUACGUUGGCAAUGCUUGGUAGUAUUGGUCUGAUGAAGUGGAUUUGGGGUUCAUUACAAUUAGAGAUGGUGGUGCUUCGUAGGUUCCAUGGAGAUUCGAAAGUCUCGCGUUUUGUGUCCAACGCGAUUUAGGGUUCGUGGAUAAUUUGGGGAUUUUCAGAUUUGUGAUUCUGUUAGGUUUCAAAUGGUUUAAUGGAGAAGAAAAUAGAUGAUGAUGAGUUUG